rnacentral:rRNA from 1 species
AGUGAACGCUGGCGGUAGGCCUAACACAUGCAAGUCGAACGGCAGCACAGUAAGAGCUUGCUCUUACGGGUGGCGAGUGGCGGACGGGUGAGGAAUACAUCGGAAUCUACUUUUUCGUGGGGGAUAACGUAGGGAAACUUACGCUAAUACCGCAUACGACCUACGGGUGAAAGCAGGGGAUCUUCGGACCUUGCGCGAUUGAAUGAGCCGAUGUCGGAUUAGCUAGUUGGCGGGGUAAAGGCCCACCAAGGCGACGAUCCGUAGCUGGUCUGAGAGGAUGAUCAGCCACACUGGAACUGAGACACGGUCCAGACUCCUACGGGAGGCAGCAGUGGGGAAUAUUGGACAAUGGGCGCAAGCCUGAUCCAGCCAUACCGCGUGGGUGAAGAAGGCCUUCUGGUUGUAAAGCCCUUUUGUUGGGAAAGAAAUCCAGCCGGCUAAUACCUGGUUGGGAUGACGGUACCCAAAGAAUAAGCACCGGCUAACUUCGUG